UACGUAGGGUGCGAGCGUUAAUCGGAAUUACUGGGCGUAAAGGGCGCGUAGGCGGUUUGAUUAGUUAGGCGUGAAAUUCCCGGGCUCAACCUGGGAACUGCGUUUAAUACAGUCAGACUUGAGUUCGGAAGAGGGUCGUGGAAUUCCCAGUGUAGAGGUGAAAUUCGUAGAUAUUGGGAAGAACACCGGUGGCGAAGGCGGCGACCUGGUCCGAUACUGACGCUGAGGCGCGAAAGCGUGGGGAGCAAACAGG
rnacentral:rRNA from 1 species